UACGUAGGGCGCAAGCGUUGUCCGGAAUUAUUGGGCGUAAAGAGCUCGUAGGUGGCUGGUCGCGUCUGCCGUGAAAGCCCGCAGCUUAACUGCGGGUCUGCGGUGGAUGACGGGCCGGCUAGAGGUAGGUAGGGGCAAGGUGGAAUUCCUGGUUGUAGCGGUGAAAUGCGCAGAUAUCAGGAGGAACACCGAUGGCGAAGGCAGGUCUCUGGGCCACUACUGACGCUGAGGAGCGAAAGCGUGGGGAGCGAACAGG
rnacentral:rRNA from 1 species